rnacentral:rRNA from 1 species
CCUACGGGGGGCAGCAGUAGGGAAUAUUGCGCAAUGGGGGAAACCCUGACGCAGCAACGCCGCGUGGAGGAUGACACUUUUCGGAGCGUAAACUCCUUUUGUUAGGGAAGAAUAAUGACGGUACCUAACGAAUAAGCAACGGCUCACUCCGUGCCAGCAGCCGCGGUAAUACGGAGGGUGCAAGCGUUACUCGGAAUCACUGGGCGUAAAGGACGCGUAGGCGGAUUAUCAAGUCUCUUGUGAAAUAUAACGGCUUAACCGUUAAACUGCUUGGGAAACAGAUAAUCUAGAGUAAGGGAGAGGCAGAUGGAAUUCUUGGUGUAGGGGUAAAAUCCGUAGAUAUCAAGAAGAAUACCUAUUGCGAAGGCGAUCUGCUGGAACUUAACUGACGCUAAUGCGUGAAAGCGUGGGGAGCAAACAGGAUUAGAUACCCCAGUAGUC